AUGAACGCUGGCUACAGGCUUAACACAUGCAAGUCGAGGGGAAACGACGGGGAAGCUUGCUUCCCCGGGCGUCGACCGGCGCACGGGUGAGUAACGCGUAUCCAACCUGCCUCUUACUGAGGGAUAACCCGUCGAAAGUCGGCCUAAUACCUCAUGGUAUCGUCUGCGGGCAUCCAACGACGAUUAAAGAUUUCAUCGGUCAGGGAUGGGGAUGCGUCUGAUUAGCUUGUGGGCGGGGUAACGGCCCACCAAGGCUACGAUCAGGAGGGGUUCUGAGAGGAAGGUCCCCCAGAUUGGAACUGAGGCACGGUCCAAACGCCUACGGGAGGCAGCAGUGAGGAAUAUUGGGCAAGGGGCGAGAGCCUGAACCAGCCAAGUAGCGUGCAGGAAGCCGGCGCUAUGGGUUGUAAACUGCUGUUAUGCGGGGAUAAAGUGAGGGACGUGUCCCUCAUUGCAGGUACCGAAUGAAUAAGGACCGGCUAAUUCCGUG
rnacentral:rRNA from 1 species